rnacentral:rRNA from 1 species
GAUGAACGCUAGCUACAGGCUUAACACAUGCAAGUCGAGGGACCGGCGCACGGGUGAGUAACACGUAUCCCACCUUCCCUUUACUCGGGGAUAGCCUUUCGAAAGAACGAUUAAUACCCGAUAUAAAGGAUGGGGAUGCGUUACAUUAGGUUGUUGGUGAGGUAAAGGCACACCAAGCCUUCGAUGGAUAGGGGUUCGGAGAGGAAGGGCCACGAGAUUGGAACUGAGACACGGUCCAAACUCUGACGGGAGGCAGCAGUGAGGAAUAUUGGUCAAUGGGCGCUAGCCUGAACCAGCCAAGUAGCGUGAAGGAUGAAGGGUUAUGGGUCGUAAACUUCUUUUAUAUAAGGAGAGGUAUUAUAUGAAUAAGGAUCGGCUAACUCCGUGCCAGCAGCCGCGGUAAUUC